UACGGAGGGGGCUAGCGUUGUUCGGAAUUACUGGGCGUAAAGCGCACGUAGGCGGCUUUGUAAGUUAGAGGUGAAAGCCCGGAGCUCAACUCCGGAAUUGCCUUUAAGACUGCAUCGCUAGAAUUGUGGAGAGGUAAGUGGAAUUCCGAGUGUAGAGGUGAAAUUCGUAGAUAUUCGGAAGGACACCAGUGGCGAAGGCGACUUACUGGACACAUAUUGACGCUGAGGUGCGAAAGCGUGGGGAGCAAACAGG
rnacentral:rRNA from 1 species